CCUACGGGCGGCAGCAGUGGGGAAUAUUGGACAAUGGGGCAACCCUGAUCCAGCCAUGCCGCGUGUGUGAAGAAGGCCCUCGGGUUGUAAAGCACUUUCAGUGAGGAAGAACGCCUGGUGGUUAAUACCCAUCAGGAAAGACAUCACUCACAGAAGAAGCACCGGCUAACUCCGUGCCAGCAGCCGCGGUAAUACGGAGGGUGCGAGCGUUAAUCGGAAUUACUGGGCGUAAAGCGCGCGUAGGUGGCUUGAUAAGCCGGUUGUGAAAGCCCCGGGCUCAACCUGGGAACGGCAUCCGGAACUGUCAAGCUAGAGUGCAGGAGAGGAAGGUAGAAUUCCCGGUGUAGCGGUGAAAUGCGUAGAGAUCGGGAGGAAUACCAGUGGCGAAGGCGGCCUUCUGGACUGACACUGACACUGAGGUGCGAAAGCGUGGGUAGCAAACAGGAUUAGAUACCCGUGUAGUC
rnacentral:rRNA from 1 species